UGGCCAAUCCGGCCAUCCUCCUUCCUCAGAUUCCCUAUUCCUCUCUCUUCCCCGUCCAAUGCCGACGGUAGUUGGUAUUCCCAGAUCCGCGAAUCACGGUAGCUCCUUCGGCGAGCAAUAUCGAUAAGCUGAGACGAUGCAAGAGUAGGAGAUAGAGAUGGGAGCUAUAUCCAUGUAACAAUGGCGGCUGAGAGAGAUGAAACAAGAGGCGGCGAUGUGCAGGGAACGUCCUGCAACAAUGGCGGCCGGUGCCCAGAAGUCGCCGGGCCAAGGCGUUUUGGUCCAGCUCAAUAUAGGGAACGGUAAUGGUACGAACUUGCCUUUAAUUUUCAGACCUAGUUGCUUUUUUAGUUCAUCUUAGAUGUUGUUGGUAUGUGUUUAGAAUCACGCAAUGGCACAUUGGCGAUGAGCACGAGGGGGCUCUAACCUGCUACCCUUUCAUGAAUCCUUCCCUUUUUAACUUCACAAGCUGGAACCAACAUGGUGCGUGUUGAUUUACUAGUUCCAUUUUAGAUUAGAUAUAUGAGCAGCAAAACAAGCAGUUGAUUGUUUUCUGAACACUGCCCUUUUCUUCCUUUGAUUUCUGAUUUUUGUGGUAACAAAAAGUUGGUUCAGUAUCUAGUUUUCAAUACAUGGUCAUGCAAAAAGCCAUGGUGUGCUUGGUCAGGGAGGUGAUAACCAGCCAGGGGGGCGGUAGGAUUGUCAGGACAAGUGAAAUUAAUGAGGGAGAUGACUGCUGUGGCCGGGCUUCUGGUAAUGCAAAUUUGAUGAUGCUACAUAUAGUUUGAAUUCAGAGAAGUUUGGUUCUACCAACAAUUGUAGCCAACAAGUAUCUUCUUCAGCAGAUUGGUGAUGCUUCAGUAGGAAUUUCUAGAAUACCAGAUAGUCACAUAAUGAAUCACAGAGGGUGAUUAUGAUGCAGAGACAUUUGUGAUCGGCAACAAACAUGUGCAUAAAGCUUUCAUGGAGAUAGCUGACCACAUGAAAUUGAAGGAAACUAGUAAUGCGAAUGGGUACAAAGUGAAACAGAUGCAAGUGGCACAGAAUAUGGCAAUGGUUCUGAAACUGAUGGUGAAACAAGAGGCAACCUGUUUGGGACAGCCGGGUCUAGUGCAGGUUUAAGUGAUUCUGAGUUCUUGAGUUUGAGUGCACCAGAUGUGAAAGUAAGGCAUCGCAGGCCAGGGAUCAAAUGAUACAGGAUACACAUUGAGAUGAUUAAAAGAGAAGAUGAUGAAAAAAUCAAGAAAGAAAGCGAGGAAGACAGUGAAGAUGCACCACCUGUGGUCUUGACGACCACAAAAAACCUCAGAAUAUUCAGCGAAAGUGUUGUUAUGGCUGCUAUUUGAGGUGUAAUUUCAGCAGCAAUCCGACAUAGGGGUUUAGCUGAUUAUGAGUGGUUAUUUUAAAAUGGUAGAUGAGUAUUUUGGCAUUAUUGCAGAUUCAAUUGCCUUGCAUCAAUAUUCAGCAAGCCAUUCGCAAACCUUUGUACAACAACUGUCUAGAUGUAAGGGUAUCAAGAACCAUAUUCUGUUUUGGUACAAGUCUUAGUUGCAACUGUUUUAGUGUUGAUGGUAAAGCUGCCCUACGAAAAUGUUUUUGUGAUUA